GUGCCUCGUCUGCUCUUAUAAGAUGUCAUAAACAGAAGUCUAAAAGAAAAAACUUUUUGAUUGUUCCUUUUUCGCUCAGGUUUCUUCGGAGAACGGACAGCAGAGCAGACGUUGACACGCGGAGAGUUCAUCGUCUCGCUCCGUCGGCUCAGUCCCUUGUCCGGCGCCCUGCUGUCACUCUUGUACCUCGACGGCGCCUCGCGGUUCUGGCGCGGCCGCUUCCAGCUGCAGGCCGCCGGUGGAAGGCGGAACGCGCCGGCUGCCGGUAGCAGUGCUGCACGUCCCUUUGGGGUAAGGGUUUAACUGCGGUUUCAUACAAAACUUGAUCAGGACCAUGUCUAGGAAAUAAAUCUGCCUCUACUUCGUAUUACGGGUUGGUAUCACUCACGUUGCCGGAAGUAAAAGGGAGUAUUACCUAACCUCCAUGGAGAACCAAGAAGCUGAACAAUGUUGGCCCUAGUACGACGAGUAAAAGAAAGUGGGCCGUAGAAGCUUAUGACUUGGGUUAACAGGUGGAACAUGAACGACGGCUGGUACGUCGACACCAGUAUUGACUAACAUGUAGCAAGGUCGUCAGAAGAACCCUAGUGACAAGGCGUCUUUCGGUUAAUGUCAGAGGAGAAAAAUGCGGUAUAUAUACAUAAUGAGCCAACAUGGCAUCAUUUUGUUCUAUGGCAACAUUGCUACCUACGACCAGAUAACUCAUAAAUGGACCGGAUUCUGAGCCUCGUGAUACGGUAUUGAACAUUGCUACUUACGACCGCUUUUAUCGAAAACCUCGAGCCGGAAGUACCUCCGGCCAAAAACUUUUUAAGUUUUAAGUAUAAAAAUGUAAAAUUUUUUAAGACUUUUUUACGUAUGUAUAUACCUCCGUAUUGUGUGUACACACAUUUAAAAGUCCUGCUUUAUUCAACUUUACCCCGACACGUUUUUUCUGUUUAGAUACCAAAAAAUUGUGUACUAUGAUAAGUAGGGUUUUCAGAUACUUAAACAAGAAAAACGUGUAUAGCAUAGAGUUCUAUAAAGUAAGACUUUAAAAUGUGCAUCUGCGUAGUGUAGGAACACAGGAACAUGUUAAAAAAAGUCUAAAAAACUUUGUUUUUUUACUUAAAAUUUAAAAAGUUUUUUUUGCAGGAGGUACCUCCGGCUCGAGGUUUUACGGAAAGAGCUUACGACCAGAGAUACAUUGCUAGAAUGAUGAUAAGUAUUCCUGUACUCGUUCCACGAUUCGUACAUGUAUACGGGUUUGGCCACGGAUUUUUCACUCUAUUCCGGUAUUCCCGUAGAAUUGCGACUAGG
rnacentral:rRNA from 1 species